AUUGAACGCUGGCGGCAUGCCUUACACAUGCAAGUCGAACGGCAGCACGGGUGCUUGCACCUGGUGGCGAGUGGCGAACGGGUGAGUAAUACAUCGGAACGUACCUUAUCGUGGGGGAUAACGCAGCGAAAGCUGUGCUAAUACCGCAUACGCCCUGAGGGGGAAAGCGGGGGAUCGCAAGACCUCGCGCGAUUAGAGCGGCCGAUGCCUGAUUAGCUUGUUGGUGGGGUAAAAGCCCACCAAGGCGACGAUCAGUAGCUGGUCUGAGAGGACGAUCAGCCACACUGGGGCUGGGACACGGCCCAGACUCCUACGGGAGGCAGCAGUGGGGAAUUUUGGACAAUGGGGGCAACCCUGAUCCAGCAAUGCCGCGUGAGUGAAGAAGGCCUUCGGGUUGUAAAGCUCUUUUGUCAGGGAAGAAACACCGGCUCUAACACAGUCCGGGAAUGACGGUACCUGAAGAAUAAGCACCGGCUAACUACGUGCCAGCCGCCGCAGUAA
rnacentral:rRNA from 1 species